AUUGAACGCUGGCGGCAUGCUUUACACAUGCAAGUCGAACGGCAGCACGGGUGCUUGCACCUGGUGGCGAGUGGCGAACGGGUGAGUAAUGCAUCGGAACGUGCCCAUGAGUGGGGGAUAGCCCGGCGAAAGCCGGAUUAAUACCGCAUACGCCCUUAGGGGGAAAGCGGGGGAUCUUCGGACAUCGCGCUAUUGGAGCGGCCGAUGUCGGAUUAGCUAGUAGGUGAGGUAAAGGGCUCACCUAGGCGACGAUCCGUAGCUGGUCUGAGAGGAUGAUCAGCCACACUGGGACUGAGACACGGCCCAGACUCCUACGGGAGGCAGCAGUGGGGAAUUUUGGACAAUGGGCGCAAGCCUGAUCCAGCCAUGCCGCGUGAGUGAAGAAGGCC
rnacentral:rRNA from 1 species